rnacentral:rRNA from 1 species
UACGAAGGGGCUAGCGUUGUUCGGAUUUACUGGGCGUAAAGCGCACGUAGGCGGAUCGUUAAGUCGGGGUGAAAUCCUGGAGCUCAACUCCAGAACUGCCUUCGAUACUGGCGAUCUUGAGUCCGGAAGAGGUGAGUGGAACUCCUAGUGUAGAGGUGGAAUUCGUAGAUAUUAGGAAGAACACCAGUGCGAAGGCGGCUCACUGGUCGGUACUGACGCUGAGGUGCGAAAGCGUGGGGAGCAACAGG